CCUACGGGAGGCAGCAGUGGGGGAUAUUGCACAAUGGGGGAAACCCUGAUGCAGCGACGCCGCGUGUGGGAAGACGGUCUUCUGGAUUGUAAACCACUGUCCCCAGGGACGAAAAUGACGGUACCUGGGGAGGAAGCUCCGGCUAACUACGUGCCAGCAGCCGCGGUAAUACGUAGGGAGCAAGCGUUGUCCGGAAUUACUGGGGGAAAGGGGAGCGUAGGCGGGGAUGCAAGUUGGGUGUCAAAACUACCGGCUCAACCGAUAGUCGCACUCAAAACUGCAACUCUUGAGUGAAGUAGAGGCAGGCGGAAUUCCUAGUGUAGCGGUGAAAUGCGUAGAUAUUAGGAGGAACACCAGUGGCGAAGGCGGCCUGCUGGGCUUUUACUGACGCUGAGGCUCGAAAGUGUGGGGAGCAAACAGGAUUAGAUACCCCAGUAGUC
rnacentral:rRNA from 1 species